GGAGAAUACCUUUUUAGAGAUGGUAGAGAUGGCUGCCUGUUCUAGAAAAUGUGAAAUCCGGAACUGGAGGUGGGCCUGCUAAGAGGGUCCAUUUUACAAGAUUUGAGGAGCUGCUGCUGCCUUUUCUCCACAGGGAGAGUGUACGAGGUGUGUCCGGCACCUUUGAUUCGGACAGGAAUGUUGGCCAAGGUGGACGCUCCUCGUUUGGGCUCCACUCCCCACAGCGCCAUCCUGAAAUUCAAGGAGAAACCUUUAGUGGGGAGGAAAGUGAGAGAGGGUCACAUGUCGGUGGCAGAGACGUGGCCUUCUUCUUGGAUGAGGAGCCGGCCAACAUUCCCCAGCAGCAGCAGCUCCAAACCCAGGCCAGAGGAGAGAGAGUGGCCCCCAAGGAACCUCAAAAAGAUAGGUUCCACAAAUCCCUAAUCAGGCACCACAAAGCGCUGAUGCGCAAAAUGGACCAAAUGCAUGUCGACUUGUGUGUGGCCACUAACGCCUACAAUGAGGGUCAGGCAUGCCAAGCCACACAUGAGUCGGCAAUGCUAAGCCUCAUUCAGGCCAGCGAGGCACGUAAGGCCUAACAUGAGGCUGCCAUGUUGAGCCUGCAAGAGGAGCAGGUAGAGCUUAAAAGACAAAAAGUGGCUCUGUUGGCUGAACAAAAUUCACUCCUGAAACAACAAAUUGCUGCCCUCCAACAACAGGGCCAAAAGCCAACAGAGCCAACAAGCUCUACCAGUGGAGCUGCUGGUGAGAGCGCAGCUCCCGCUCCUGCAGGUUCAACAAGGCAACUUCGGAAAAGAAAAUAAAUUGUGCAGAUUAGGGAUUUGUGGAACCUAGCUUUCCUUAGCUAGGUUUUGUUUUAUUUUUUCUUUUUUUUGUUUUUAAUUUGGUUGCAGGUGUUGGUGAACCUGCUUUAAAAAAAUUAUUUUGGAAGUGAGAAUAAACCUUUUUUUUGGGUCAAA